rnacentral:rRNA from 1 species
GACGAACGCUGGCGGCGUGCUUAACACAUGCAAGUCGAACGGUGAAAGAAGAGCUUGCUCUUCUGGAUCAGUGGCGAACGGGUGAGUAACACGUGAGUAACCUGCCCCAGACUCUGGAAUAAGCGCUGGAAACGGCGUCUAAUACCGGAUACGAGACAUAGCUGCAGGGCUACUGUCUGGAAAGUUUUUCGGUCUGGGAUGGACUCGCGGCCUAUCAGCUUGUUGGUGAGGUAACGGCUCACCAAGGCAACGACGGGUAGCCGGCCUGAGAGGGCGACCGGCCACACUGGGACUGAGACACGGACCAGACUCCUACGGGAGGCAGCAGUGGGAAAUAUUGCACAAUGGGCGAAAGCCUGAUGCAGCGACGCCGCGUGAGGGAUGACGGCCUUCGGGUUGUAAACCUCUUUCAGCAGGGAAGAAGCGAAAGUGACGGUACCUGAAGAAGAAGCACCGGCUAACUACGUG